rnacentral:rRNA from 1 species
AUAUGGCCCAUAUUCCUACGGGAAGCAGCAGUGAGGAAUUUUUCACAAUGGACGAAAGUCUGAUGGAGCAAUACCACGUGAACGAUGAAGAUCUUCUGAUUGUAAAGUUCUUUUAUUUAGGAAAAAAAGCUUGAUAGGAAAUGAUUAAGCCUUGAUCGUACUAAAUGAAUAAGUGACAGCUAACUAUGUGCCAGCAGCUGCGGUAAAACAUAGGUCACGAGCAUUAUCCGGAUUUAUUGGGCGUAAAGGAAGCGUAGGCGGACAAGUUGAUCUAUUGUGAAAAGCACUUGCUCAACAAGUUGUUUGUGAUAGAUAUCGCUUGUCUAGAAUUAGUUAGGAGAUACUGGAAUUCAAUGUGUAGCGGUGGAAUGCGUAGAUAGAUUGAGGAACACCAGAGGCUAAGGCGAGUAUCUAGAACAUAAUUGACGCUGAGGCUUGAAAGCGUGGGGAGCAAAUGGGAUUAGAUACCCCAGUAGUCCACGCCGUAAACGAUGGGUAUUAGGUAUUUGAUAUAAGAUUGAGUGCUGUAGCUAACGCGUUAAAUACCCCGCCUGGGUAGUAUAUAUGCAAAUAUGAAACUCAAAGAAAUUGACGGGGACCUGAACAAGUGGUGGAGCA